UUGAGAUUUUAACACGAAGUGAGUGGCGAACGGGUGAGUAACACGUGGGUAACCUGCCCAGAAGUAGGGGAUAACACCUGGAAACAGAUGCUAAUACCGUAUAACAGAGAAAACCGCAUGGUUUUCUUUUAAAAGAUGGCUCUGCUAUCACUUCUGGAUGGACCCGCGGCGUAUUAGCUAGUUGGUGAGGUAAAGGCUCACCAAGGCAGUGAUACGUAGCCGACCUGAGAGGGUAAUCGGCCACAUUGGGACUGAGACACGGCCCAGACUCCUACGGGAGGCAGCAGUAGGGAAUCUUCCACAAUGGACGCAAGUCUGAUGGAGCAACGCCGCGUGAGUGAAGAAGGGUUUCGGCUCGUAAAGCUCUGUUGUUAAAGAAGAACGUGGGUAAGAGUAACUGUUUACCCAGUGACGGUAUUUAACCAGAAAGCCACGGCUAACUACGUGCCAGCAGCCGCGGUAAUACGUAGGUGGCAAGCGUUAUCCGGAUUUAUUGGGCGUAAAGCGAGCGCAGGCGGUCUUUUAAGUCUAAUGUGAAAGCCUUCGGCUCAACCGAAGAAGUGCAUUGGAAACUGGGAGACUUGAGUGCAGAAGAGGACAGUGGAACUCCAUGUGU
rnacentral:rRNA from 1 species